AUUGAACGCUGGCGGCAUGCCUUACACAUGCAAGUCGAACGGUAACAGGUUAAGCUGACGAGUGGCGAUCGGGUGAGUAAUAUAUCGGAACGUGCCCAGUCGUGGGGGAUAACGCAGCGAAAGCUGUGCUAAUACCGCAUACGAUCUAUGGAUGAAAGCGGGGGAUCGCAAGACCUCGCGCGAUUGGAGCGGCCGAUAUCCGAUUAGCUAGUUGGUGGGGUAACGGCCUACCAAGGCGACGAUCUGGAGCCGGUCUGAGAGGACGACCAGCCACACUGGAACUGAGACACGGUCCAGACUCCUACGGGAGGGAGCAGUGGAGAAUUUUGGACAAUGGGCGCAAGCCUGAUUCAGCAAUGCCGCGUGCAGGAUGAAGGCCUUCGGGUUGUAAACUGCUUUUGUACGGAGCGAAACGGCCUACCCUAAUAUGGUAGGUUAAUGACGGUACCGUAAGAAUAAGCACCGGCUAACUACGUGCCAGCAGCCGCGGUAA
rnacentral:rRNA from 1 species